GACCUUACCUCCCUCACUACCUUAAACAUUCAGGGAAUUUCAGGCCUUAUAAGUUUAGAUGAGGUGCUUAUACAGGCCUUGGUAUCACUUAAACAUCUGAAGAUUGCAUGUUGUGAGGAACUGAGAUGCUUGUGGAGAAAUGGAACUAAUUUAAACAAACUGGCUUCUCUGAAGAGUUUAGAAAUUUCUGGAUGCCCACAGCUAGUAUCAUUGGUAGGGGGAGAGGAUGGACUUUUACCUUCCAAUCUUGAAACUUUGCAGAUAGGAACUUGUGAUAACCUGGAGCAGCUGCCACAUGGUCUGGGCAGCCUCACAUCUCUGAAG
rnacentral:misc_RNA from 1 species